GGAGACCGGAGUGGGUCCAGGCUGAGCUGUGGGAUAAGGAGUGGGGGGGAAUCCCAAGCCCGGACAUUCCUUCCGAGAGAGUGAGCUCUGGAGAGAGAUGGGAGGAGAGUCCUCUCACAUUUCCCUCUUCCCUUCCCCCGCAGGCUGGGCCCACACGCCGCCCGCCCCCGACCCAUACAUUCCCGGACGGUUACUUGCCUCGUGGUCACUAGAAAAUCGACCCCAUUUCAAGCUGAAGGGCCACCAGUCUGAUAUUUACUUAGCACCUACUACGUGCCCAGCCCUGUGGAUACAGAGAUGAACAAAGCCUAAUUCCUGCUCACAAAAGACUUUCUGACUAGUGAUGCGACUACCCUGUUUAUGAAGAGAGAAAAACUGAGUGCCAGGGAAGGAGCAGACAGGCUCAGGAUCACACAGCUUGAGCAAAGUGCAAACCAGAAUGAGAGGAAGAGAGAGGGAGAGACAGAGAAUGAGAGGGAGAGGAGGUGGUUCUCUUCCCAAUUUGACCCACUCCAUGGGACCCCUGCCUUGAGGACAGAGGGACUGCCCUGGUCUGAAGUAAUUUCCUCUACAAAUUUCAAGUAAAUCCUUGAAAUGGAGCAAAGUCCACUACAAUGCAAAACUUGUCUCUGUUCUGCGUGUGGAGCCCAUCUCAAAUAAAGGUGGGCGAAGCUCUUAUCUCUGGGCGGUAAGUGACUGUCUCGUGUUCCUCUGGAGCUUUCUCAGGUUGGUCUGCCGCAUGUAGUAAGGUUUCACAAUCUUUACUUUUGUGCUUUUUGUAAUAGUAUGGACCCACUGAAAAUGAUUGCUUUUUCAUUGAUCCUGAAGUCACAUAACUCCACAUUUUACACAAUUUAAAGUUUGGACUUGGCUCGUUGCCUUAUGAUGGAGUUUUCUACAUUAAGCCCCUAUUUUGUCACGGCACCGGGUUAGGUUUAUGGAAAUGAACAGAACUGACAGGGUCUCUGUUCUCAUGGAACUUGCAAGCUUGCUUUCUUAAUGGAGGAAAUGGACAAUAAGCCAAUAAGAUGUCUGCACACUGGAAUGAGGGCUGUGAAGAAAUCAAAGGACUGAAGUAGAAAAUAGGAGGUCCCACCUGAGGUGGUCAGGAGGCGGCUCUAAAGAGGUGACAUUUGCAUUGAGGAAGAUGAGGUGGAGAGAACUGGAGGGAAAGCAUUCUAGAUGUCAGGAACAGCAUAUGCAAAGGCCCUGCAGCAGGACUAGAAGAGACUUAGUUUUAAGCUGAGUGUGGAUCUAGGAGUCCCAGAGCAACCUGAACAAGAGAAAACUGGGAAAGAUGGAAGCCCCAGAGCCAGUGCUCAAGGGCGAGGCCUAGGCCACAAGUUCAGAUUUGCUGCGGGUCAAAUCAUUAUAGACUAUCCUAGUCUGGGGGCUGCGGGGGUCCAUGCCAUAGGAUGGGGAUGGCUCAAGGCAAUGACAACUCAUUGGAAAUUGUGGAAAUCCCUUCUGAAUUUCAGAGACAGUAUAUGGGCUGCAGGAUCCUGAUGGCUGGGAAUAGGUGAGCUUAAGCACCCUUUUUCUUCCUCCUUAAAAUAUGUGAGGUCUGGCCUGGGCCCCUUUUCCUUUAUUUAGCCAUGGUUGACUGAGGCCUCCUUUGUGCCAAGCACUGUACUGGGCACUGGGGAUAUUGCAGUGAACAAAACAGAUAAACCCCUUCCCUCAAGGAGCUUGUAUCUCAGUGGGGGACACAAACACAAAACAAAAGACCCUUACCCCAAACAAACUCAGUGUUUUGGGAGAGGACUAGGUGGGGAGAUCUCCCUUCCUGAGUUGGAGCCCUAAGACUUUGGCUCCUCCAUUAGUCCUUUUUCUAGGGGAUUCUACUCUGAGACCAGAGUGCCUUGGCCCUUAGGUCCUCUUUCCUGUUGGUGAGAAUUUAAAGAGAAACACACACACACACACACACACCCCUCCCCUUUUAGGGGCUGUUAAAGGCCCACACACAGACAUAGGAACACCCAAAUGCACAUACUUCUCUAAUCUCCCUAAUCCCCCAAGGCUGGGGUGGUGGUUGUAGUGGUUCUCUGUUUCUCUAUUUAGCUCAGGAGAAGCCAGGCUAUGGGCCUGGCUUAGCCCCCGCACCCCCCUUCCCCUGGGCCGGUGCCUGGGUCCCAGUCAUUCCCACACCUGGCCUGGGAGGUAAAUGAAUGUACUGAGCAAACAUCCUUGCAGCUUCCUGCUGCUCCCCUCUGAGACAACAGCACUCCUCCUUCUCUUCCUUCUCCCCACACCCUCCCAGUUGCGGCAUCUCUGGGAUCCAGAGCCAUUUCCCUCUAGAGAAACCAGAGUCAUCCCUUUUCCUUAGCCAGAAGAAGAAGGCAAGAUGCACAUAGCCCUAGUGUCUCUAUCUGGAGACACAACUUGUUCUCUCUCUGGCCCUUUAUCUCAGCUUUCUGAGCACCAGACCCUCCCUCAUGCCUGCCCAGGGGGUGAAGGAUAUAGGAUACAGGGGAUGAGGGCUCUCCAGUGGCCACAUCAGGAACUGUGGGAGAGGUAGAGGGAGGAGAAGCCCCCCUCCCCCACAUCUGGUAGGAAGGGCAGCCCCUUUGGAGGGGUGUCUCUGAGAAUCACAUAGAUAAGCUGGGACCAGCAUAAAGGGAAAAAUAAAGUACCCCUGACCACCUCCAAGCACA